UCUAUACCUACUUAGGACUCUUUUUCUACCCAAAUCUAUCACAAAAUCCAAAUUCCACUACAUUCUUACUACCUCCCUUUUCUCUUCAAGAAAGACUGCUACUUUCAUCAAACCUGUGUUCUCAAACAAAAAUUGAAGUUAGAAAGAAAUAAGAAUAAAAAAGAAAAUAUACCGAUAAAUAGUACCUCAUGUUCCAAGAGAAGUAAAAACUUCUAAAUUUAGCAAGCUUGCUAAGAAUUAAUACAACCUGCAAAAUAUUAUAAAAAUUUUGUUCAAACUUAUAGCGCAUUAGUACAAUAUCAAUCAAACAACAUUUUCUAAUUUAAAUAAUACCUUUACUACUGAAAUUUCUUCAUGCUUGUAAAUAUCAAUAUUGAUCCAAUUUCAAGAAGCUGAAUCUCCCAUCUUUUAUCCUCGUCCAGCUUAAAUGGCUUGUGAGUUGUACAUUACAAAAAUUCACUCAACCUUUCCAAACCAAACCAAACUCUAUGCCUUACAUUUAUAGUAAGUUCUACAUUACAAAAUUUUCACUUGGCACAACCCAUAUAGAGACACAUACAAAGACAUAUCUAUACAUAUUCAAAAGGGUGCUCCAAGUGUAAAAUUAUCUCUCAACAAAAGUACAAAAUAAACUAGAAUAUUAAAUACAAAAUAUAACAAAUACACUAAAUAGAUACACGAAAAAACUCAUUCAAAAUGCAUAUCACAAUAAGUAGGACAUCAACCACCAACGAAACAUAAUAAUAAAAACAUCCAAACAUAUAUAACAAAAGAAAAAAACAACACAAAAAAAUUACAAUGACAUUCAACGAAACAUCACAUUCACAAACAAAAUCAACAUUCAUCAAAAAAAUUAUAAUAGUCCAACAAAACAUUACAUUCGAAACAAAUAUUACAAUAUUCCGACAAAACAUCACACAAUAACAAAAAAAUAACACAUAUAUAACACAUUCAUCAAGCAAGACCAAUAGAAAAAAUUACAAUAUUCCAAUUAAAGUUUAAUAACUAUCGGUGAACAUAUAUAACACAUUUUAUAUAAUAUAUAUAUAAUAUAAUGUGUAUCUAUACAUACAUAUGUAUAUUACGUAUAUAAUAUAAUAUAUAUUAUAAUACUUAUUAUACAGAUAUACAUGUGUAUAAUACACAUGUAUAUUAUGUAUAUUACAUAAUAAUAUAAUAUAAUUAUAUCACUUUCCUAAAUAUUUAGAACCUAUAAAACGAGCCAUCUUCUACGCAUAUACCUACUUACGGCUCUUUUUCUACCCAAAUCUAUCACAAAAUCCAAAUCUCACUACAUUCUUACUACCUCCAUUUUCUCUUCAAGAAAGACUGCUACUUUCGUCAAACAUUUGUUCUCAAACAAAAUUUGAAGUUAGAAAGAAAUAAGAAUAAAAAAGAAAAUAUACCGAUAAAUAGUACCUCAUGUUCUAAGAGAAGUAAAAAC
rnacentral:lncRNA from 1 species